GAUGAACGCUAGCGGCAGGCCUAAUACAUGCAAGUCGAGGGGUAGAGGAGAGCUUGCUUUCCUUGAGACCGGCGCACGGGUGCGUAACGCGUAUGCAACCUACCUUUGUCAGGGGGAUAGCCUCUCGAAAGAGAGAUUAACACCGCAUAACAUUAAGAUGUGGCAUCACAGUUUAAUCAAAUAUUUAUAGGACAAAGAUGGGCAUGCGUGUCAUUAGUUAGUUGGUGAGGUAACGGCUCACCAAGACCACGAUGACUAGGGGAUCUGAGAGGAUGACCCCCCACACUGGUACUGAGACACGGACCAGACUCCUACGGGAGGCAGCAGUAAGGAAUAUUGGUCAAUGGGGGCAACCCUGAACCAGCCAUGCCGCGUGCAGGAAGACGGCCCUACGGGUUGUAAACUGCUUUUAUACUGGAAUAAUUCCCCGAUCGUGAUCGGGGUUGAAUGUACAGUAAGAAUAAGGAUCGGCUAACUCCAUGCCAGCCGCCGCAGUAAGAC
rnacentral:rRNA from 1 species